rnacentral:rRNA from 1 species
GACGAACGCUGGCGGCGUGCUUAAUACAUGCAAGUCGAACGGACAGGCCCUGCUCUUGUGGGGUGCUCGAGUGGCGAACGGGUGAGUAACACGCGAGUAAAAUGCCCUUGUCUUUCGGAUAACUCUAGGAAACUGGGGCUCAUAUCGGAUAGGAGCUCUUGCUGCACGGUGGGGGAUGGAAAGAUUCGGCGGUUGGGGAUGGAAUCGCGGCUUAUCCGCUUGUUGGUCGGGUUGUGGCUUACCAAGGCUUUGACGGCUAGCCGGCCUGAGAGGUUGACCGGCCACAUGGGUACUGAGAUACGGCCCAGACGCCUACGUGAGGCAGCAGGGGAGAAUAUUGCACAAUGGGCGGAAGCCUGAGGCAGCGACGCCGCGUGCGGGAUGACGUCCUUCGAGUUGUAAACCACUUUCUCCUGUGACGAAGCGGGAUUGACGGUAAUGGGUAAGGAAGCACCGGCUAACUACGUG